UGGGUUCAACAUCCGAUGCAAAGCAUGGCACCUCCAACAAUGCAACACUCACUGUGCCGAUGUGCAAUGCAACUGCUGCACAAUCAGAUCAGGAAGGAGAGUGAUUUAUACAUUGCCCUUAACACCGAGUUGCUGACAAAUUGUAAUCUGCACUCAACUUUUUCAUGAAAUCAUCUAAAAAAAAUUGCUCCGGGAUAUCGAAUGGGCAGACAGUGCGAAUGCUUCUUUGACCAUAUUUGGGACCUAUCACCUCUGAUACAUUCCAGGAGAGAUCUGUUCGAGAGCCCUGCAGUAGGUUCACUAAUGAAACUCCAAUCCAGCGCCUCUCAAACCUUCACAGUCGUAGAGUCUCAAUCAUCUCCCAGCUGGCCCCAUUCCUGACCAUUGACUUUAUUUCUCCGACCUCUUGCGGAUUUUUAAUUUGUCGCUGAUGCAGCCCAGUCUGGUGUCAGGAUGUAAGGCCAAUGUAAUUUAAUAAAGGACAGUCAGACCAA